rnacentral:rRNA from 1 species
CAAUAGCGUAUAUUAAAGUUGUUGCGGUUAAAAAGCUCGUAGUUGGAUUUCUGCUGAGAACGACCGGUCCGCCCUCUGGGUGUGUAUCUGGCUCUUUCUUAGCAUCUUCUUGGUGAACGUUGCUGCACUUGACUGUGUGGAGCGCUACCCAGGACUUUUACUUUGAGGAAAUUAGAGUGUUUCAAGCAGGCAUACGCCUUGAAUACAUUAGCAUGGAAUAAUAAGAUAGGACCUCGGUUCUAUUUUGUUGGUUUCUAGAGCUGAGGUAAUGAUUAAUAGGGAUAGUUGGGGGCAUUCGUAUUUAACUGUCAGAGGUGAAAUUCUUGGAUUUGUUAAAGUCGGACUACUGCGAAAGCAUUUGCCAAGGAUGUUUUCAUUGA